rnacentral:rRNA from 1 species
AGGCUUUGCUUGGUGGUGAGAGUGGCGAACGGGUGAGUAACGCGUGACCGACCUGCCCCAUACACCGGAAUAGCUCCUGGAAACGGGUGGUAAUGCCGGAUGCUCCAGUUGGAUGCAUGUCCUUCUGGGAAAGAUUCAUCGGUAUGGGAUGGGGUCGCGUCCGAUUAGCUUGUUGGCGGGGUAACGGCCCACCAUGGCUUCGACGGGUAGCCGGCCUGAGAGGGCGACCGGCCACAUUGGGACUGAGAUACGGCCCAGACUCCUACGGGAGGCAGCAGUGGGGAAUAUUGCACAAUGGGCGCAAGCCUGAUGCAGCGACGCCGCGUGCGGGAUGACGGCCUUCGGGUUGUAAACCGCUUUUGACUGGGAGCAAGCCCUUCGGGGUGAGUGUACCUUUCGAAUAAGCACCGGCUAACUACGUGCCAGCAGCCGCGGUAAUACGUAGGGUGCAAGCGUUAUCCGGAAUUAUUGGGCGUAAAGGGCUCGUAGGCGGUUCGUCGCGUCCGGUGUGAAAGUCCAUCGCUUAACGGUGGAUCCGCGCCGGGUACGGGCGGGCUUGAGUGCGGUAGGGGAGACUGGAAUUCCCGGUGUAACGGUGGAAUGUGUAGAUAUCGGGAAGAACACCAAUGGCGAAGGCAGGUCUCUGGGCCGUCACUGACGCUGAGGAGCGAAAGCGUGGGGAGCGAACAGGAUUAGAUACCCUGGUAGUCCACGCCGUAAACGGUGGAUGCUGGAUGUGGGGACCAUUCCACGGUCUCCGUGUCGGAGCCAACGCGUUAAGCAUCCCGCCUGGGGAGUACGGCCGCAAGGCUAAAACUCAAAGAAAUUGACGGGGGCCCGCACAAGCGGUGGAGUAUGUGGCUUAAUUCGAUGCAACGCGAAGAACCUUACCUGGGCUUGACAUGUUCCCGACAGCCGUAGAGAUACGGUCUCCCUUCGGGGCGGGUUCACAGGUGGUGCAUGGUCGUCGUCAGCUCGUGUCGUGAGAUGUUGGGUUAAGUCCCGCAACGAGCGCAACCCUCGCCCUGUGUUGCCAGCACGUCGUGGUGGGAACUCACGGGGGACCGCCGGGGUCAACUCGGAGGAAGGUGGGGAUGACGUCAGAUCAUCAUGCCCCUUACGUCCAGGGCUUCACGCAUGCUACAAUGGCCGGUACAACGGGAUGCGACAUGGCGACAUGGAGCGGAUCCCUGAAAACCGGUCUCAGU